ensembl:snoRNA
CACGUCCUGGUGCUUACCACAGACUAUGUUCUUAUACUGACUGUAUAGAUAGAAGAGGAAGAAAAGUAAAUCUAAUCCAGGCCUUGUGCCUGGUCUGUAUGGUGAAUGGGAAGACAUGG